GAGUUUGAUCCUGGCUCAGAGCGAACGUUAGCGGCAGGCUUAACACAUGCAAGUCGAGCGACAAAGGGGCUUCGGCCCUGAGUAGAGCGGCGGACGGGUGCGUAACACGUGGAUAAUCUGCCUCGUGGCGGGGGAUAACAGUCCGAAAAGGACUGCUAAUACCGCAUGUCAGGUCGGAAAACCCUGGUUUCUGACGAAAAAAGAGGGCGCCCGCAAGGGGCUCUCACCACGAGAUGAGUCCGCGGCCCAUCAGCUAGUUGGCGGUGUAAUAGACCACCAAGGCUAAGACGGGUAGCUGGUCUGAGAGGAUGACCAGCCACACUGGGACUGAGACACGGCCCAGACUCCUACGGGAGGCAGCAGUGGGGAAUAUUGGACAAAUGGGCGAAAGCCUGAUCCAGCCAUGCCGCGUGAGUGAUGAAGGUCUUCGGAUCGUAAAGCUCUGUGGGAAGGGACGAAAAAAGGACCUAACCUAAAUACGUUAAGGUCUUGACGUACCGUUCUUAGUCAAGCACCGGCU
rnacentral:rRNA from 1 species